UUAAAUUGAAGAGUUUGAUCAUGGCUCAGAUUGA
rnacentral:rRNA from 2 species